AGUGAACGCUGGCGGCAGGCCUAACACAUGCCAGUCGAGCGGCAGCGGGUCCUUCGGGAUGCCGGCGAGCGGCGGACGGGUGAGGAAUACAUCUGAAUCUGCCCUGUCGUGGGGGAUAACCUAGGGAAACUUAGGCUAAUACCGCAUACGACCUACGGGUGAAAGCGGGGGAUCGCAAGACCUCGCGCGACAGGAUGAGCCGAUGUCCGAUUAGCUAGUUGGCGGGGUAAAGGCCCACCAAGGCGACGAUCGGUAGCUGGUCUGAGAGGAUGAUCAGCCACACUGGGACUGAGACACGGCCCAGACUCCUACGGGAGGCAGCAGUGGGGAAUAUUGGACAAUGGGCGAAAGCCUGAUCCAGCCAUGCCGCGUGGGUGAAGAAGGCCUUCGGGUUGUAAAGCCCUUUUGUACGGGAAGAAAUCGUCUGGGCUAAUACCCCGGGCGGAUGACGGUACCGGAAGAAUAAGCACCGGCUAACUUCGUG
rnacentral:rRNA from 1 species